CCGUUCUGAGAUCAAUUAUGACAUUAGAGCCAUCACGCGCAUGCGCAGAGAUGUGCGUUUGUGUGUAAACUAAACUCGCACAUCAGGCUGAAGAGGUAGCAGUAGUAUUACGUAAACGAGCAAAUUAUACUGAUUUAGCAAGACCCACGGUAAAUUUGAGACAGAAUAUUGUUACACACGUAGCGCAACUCCUUUCAGGAAUAGCUCACUACGUAAGUUGUGUGCGUAGCGGGUGAGAGAAGGUGAGAGUGGUGAUGCCGGCGACCAGAACAGAGAGGAAGCUAGUUUGUUAGCAGUGUAGCUGUGAACGUACAGUGCGGUGUAUGUGCACUUUAGGCUGUUUGUCAGUAAAUAAAUACUACGACUCCUCAAGACCCAAGUUACCGUGUCUCCCCUGUGCUUUCCAACUACAGUGCGCCAAGAAAGGUUAACAACACUGAGGCAGCCAGGAAGGAGAAGUUUGAAGAUGUCCAGGCAGAGAGCAGCAAGAUACAGGAGAGAGACUUUCAGCACAUGAAAGUCAGGCAGCACAAAAUCAUGAAACAGGACAGGCUCUGAAUUUAAGAGGGAUUUGCUACUGCUGCUGUCAUGAAAAGGCGAGACACAGCAGGCCUUCAAAGGCAAGCAGUGCACACUGACAAAUACAAAAUGUGGGAAUGACAUCGGCGAUGGAAUAGCAGGAUGUGUGAAGAGCGGAUGAAAGGAGAAUACAGAGAAGAAGGAGGGCAGGGUGACUAGACCAUUGCUUCGAUGAUGCAUUGCUUUGCUGCAUCCCCUAUGGUGCAGCUGUUUAUCUGUCAGAGACACAGCGCUGUCGAACUGAGGCAAAGCAAGUAAUGCUAACUAGCCCUCCCUGUGCUGACACUUAAUAACACUGAAUAAAUGAAGCUUAAUAGACCACACAGCACCUAAACAAAUACACAGAGAAGCAAGCAAGUGCUGUAGAGUCUGUCCAAUUAAUCAUAACAUAACAUAACAUAACAUAACAUAUAGUGUAAAUGGGCUGUAAAAUAUGAAAAGGUAAGCCAUAGAAAAUUGCAUUUAUGAGAACUGGGAAAGGGGAUAGGAGAAAAACACAAGACCAUAAUGCACACAUUGGAGUAAACCCCAAAACAGCAAAGUAAUUUGACUUCAUCAAAUUUCCUGUCUUGUUGGAAAACCGUCCAGCUCAUAUUUGCAGUGUCCUAGCUUGUAAAAUAAACUUGAAGCACAAAGAGAGGAGAACAUCAAGUUUACAUGAGUGCAGGUUAUGGAAAGUCUUAGAUUUGAGGUCACUGUAAAUCGUUGUAAUGGAAAACCGAAGGGCAAUCUCCUGAAUAAACAAACAUAUUAGUUUGCUGCUGUAUACAGCUCAAAUUGAUUUCAGUAUGCCAUGUCCCCCUUUGUUUGUCUUGGGGCUGAAAUCAUAGAUCUGCUGUACACAUGCACCCAUCGGAAUUAUACUAUAGUCUCAUGAACAUGGGGAAAGAUGAAAGAUGCAUAUCUACAACUUGUAGAUCUGCAACCUCUUGACCUCUCCCAUUUAAAUAUCCCAUUACCUGCUGGUGUUCAUUCAGACCCAAGGGGAACAGGGAGGAAGGAGAUGGUAGAAACUUAAGGCAUUCAUCUUUUUUACUGCGGCAGUCUGCAUGCAGACCUCUUUCAGCCAGGAUGUCAGAUUUCAUUACGCUGUGCUACCACUGGGCUGUAGCCACAGAUUUAAUCAAGCAUGUAAUCAUACUAUUGCCAUCAACAACAAAUGGAAAUGCGUUCUGGGAUCAAUAUGCAUGUCAUGAAAGCAAAAUAAUAUAAGCACACACUGUAACAUUAGUUCUGUGAUCACGCGCUCACAAGCCUCUUAAGGCUUGGACACUCAUCUCUUCCAUCUCUGCAUAGUGAAAAUUUGCAUGUGCAAGCUCAGCCCCUGGGGAUUAGCCCCUCUGACCAAAUGUAAGUCUCUCUCAGCUCAUAGAGCAGCAGGGAAUAGAGAGGUCCACCUGUGUUCAGAGAACUAGAGUUGCACUGCAUAAGUGAUGUUCCAUUUUGAAACAGUCAGAGCCCUGUAGUGGAGCUCUUUAGGCCCAGAAGGCAAAAACUGAUAACUAUAUACUCAGCAGCUAAACUAAAUCCCAAUAUUUAACAGGUUACACUGGCACAGGUCACCUCUCUGGACCAUAGCAGCUUCUCAGAAAAGGAUGAGAGGGUAACAAUCUGAAAUUCCAGACACUAAACCUAAUGGACUGUCACUGUGCAGGAAGUCAGGCUGAACCACCACAUCCCACUUAUCCUUGCUGCAGGGUUAGGUAGCUGACUCAGAGCUGGUGGUCUGUGUGCCUUCUUAUGCUGUUUUGAAAUGGAAACGGGAAACUGGAUUUUAGUACCUCAAAAAAUGUAUUGCUCAAAUUCCAUUACCUCUUCAAAAAUAUUGUACUUGCCAGUACUAUUCAGCACUAUCCUGUUUGGUUAGUUGGGGAUGUGAUGUCACACCUUUCUCAUUUCUGGCCAUGGAUCCAGGCCCCUGGAUUUCCACCCACAUCUCAGAUUUGUUCAGUGAUUCAAAUAGAUCAAAUGUUUUACCCAAUGACAGCCGCUUUCUGCCAGCUCAAAACACAAUCAGCAAAGGUGGUAUUGAGAAUGAGGACUUCAUCUUCCUGAGCAGCAAUCUAGCUACGUUAAAGGAAGAUAGUGACAGGAAAAUGUUGACCAGUGUGGAAGAGAUCAAUGCUACAAGUUGUUUUUAGUUUUAAUACAGAAAUAACAACUGGUAAAUCGACAUAUUAAAUGUUCUGGCGACCGCCACCACAGACAAAACACAAUACCUCCGCCCAGCAACAAGAAAUCAUCAGUGCAAUUUCAGGCUGAAUGAAUGAAACAAAAUUCAGUCUUAAGGCACGGACACACUUCCUGCGUCCGUGGACAGCUGCAGACUUUCCUCUGGUCGGGCUCUUUUUCCGAUCCACACAUCAUUCCAAUUGGUGGCAGUAAUGCACCACAACGUUGUUUGCCAACCACUAUAAAAAUCAAGAAGCAGAAGAAGAGAACAAGAGGGAGGCAAAAAGAGAAAAUAUAAUGUGCAACCUCUUAACAAGAAUAGUAGAGUAAGCCGAGGAGUUCUACAUGACUUGGCUGUCUUGUCUUUGUAGUGUUUCAAAGGAGAAUCAUAUAAAUGUGAUCUCCUUGCACAACCUCUCUUCAAAACGAGAAUCCAUUUUGUUAUCGGGAGCAUGCACAGUCAGUGCACUUGCUACGCUUACAGUCUGUGCGGUCACAAUUUUUGGGCUGCACGUGGACGUCCACAUAGGGGUCCGAGCGGAUCCUCAUUGACAUGGGUGCAUGACGUAAUUUACGCAUGCAGACGGAAAAUGACCCUCGUGGACAUUCUGACACGUAAAGUAUGAAUUGGCCUUUAUUAUUAAUGGUCCAGCAGUGAAAUUUAACCUUCAGAGCGGCCAAACAAUCUCAGAUGCAGAGUGUGUAACCUUGAUGUCCCCAUUUCAAGUUCAACUUUUGUCACAUGUCAUUUCUCUCCCCAUGUUCUCCGACUCUCAUUUAUCUACUGUCCCCCAAUUAAACAGAAGAAAAGGCUUAUUAUCAAAAGAAAAUCAUUUUCAUUACAGGUCAUUAAUUACACUUUUCUCAGCACAAUGGUUUAACAGGCAGUGAGCCUGAUUGAUAAAAAAGAUGCUACACAUUGUUAGGGAAGCAGAGAGAGGGAGAGAGACAGUGGAGUGAAGGGCAGGUGCUUGUAAUGCCACUGUAGGAAACUGGAAGAGAAUUGAUAAUGUUUCGGUGAUGAAUGAUAGUGCCGGCACACCUGCGGAUCCUGUUAAGGAGCGAGGAGAGUGCUGAUGAUCUAAAUCAUUGAUGACUCUCACUGAUGGCUCAUGCUGAGGUCCUACCGAUGAGACGAACAAGUUCUUAACACAAAGCACGUUUUCUAUUAGAGCAGUCACUGUAACAAGGAGGGAGCAAGUGCGUGGCUGCUUUCGCUGCUUUCAGCCGCUGUAACACUGACAGUAACAGACACCGUCUUCAGAAGACAGGGAGGGAAACCUGUUCUGUAGCUACAAGCGUUAUUUCUCUAUCAAACACAUAUUUCCUCUUCUGGCCUUACAUUAUGUUUAGACGGUGCAUGAUUAUUUCUCUUUUUCUGUUUUGUGAUGUAUCAUCUGUUGCAGCUCUUUGUAAUGUAACUUUUGUGUCAGUAUGUAUGGGCUUUAAAUAGAAGUAUUUAAAGGAAUAGUUUGCGCUUAUUUGCUUUCUUGCCAAGAGUUAGAUAAGAAGAUUGAUACCACUCUCAUAAAUUAGAUAUGAAGCUGCGACCAGAGGAUGUUCACUUUUGCCAACUUAUUGACUUUCUAACAUUAGCAACUUUUUUUCAAAAAAGACCUUUUGAGACUGGGUUCUGUGGCUCGGGGGGAGAGCAGCUGCACCUUCAGCUGACCAUUUUAAAUGAUUUAACUUCGCUAGCCUAUUUCCUCAAAAUACACAGUUUACAAAGGUUCAGAGGAGUGAGUUCAUCCCCGUGUCCCUAUUCAUGACACCCCAGUCCGCAGUCUAUACAACAGCCUUCAUAAAAACAGUACCUGAGUUACAUUUAGCUGCCAAUUGAUGAGAUGAUAGCAGCAUGAAAAUGGCUAAUAGCUGAUGUCACAGGUAUGUAAAUUGUGAUGUAAUUACAGGCUUUAGCUACUUUCCACUGAAAACAGCUGGCAACGCUGGAGGCCGUUAGCUUAGAUUAGCAUAAAGACUGGAAGCAGCUAGCUUGGUUCUGCUUGAAGGUAAAACUCACCAAUUAACAUGCUAUAUCUUAUUUGUUUGAUCUGUAAAAAUACCAAAAAAAAGUUGCAGGUUUAUGGGCAGUUAAGUGCUUGACUAUUUCUUGGUUGGGACUUCUGCUUGUUGGGCUGGUAACAUCACAGAAGUCUUGAUUUUUGUAUGGAUUAAACAAAGGAAAUAUAAACUUUAGAUGUUGUUAACUUUGCACGGAGCCAGGUGAGCAGCAAGUAUUAAUCAAAAUGUCUUUGUUUUAGGGUGAUGAGAAAACCUGACAGGUUUGUCCCCUAUAAAAUAUAACAUAAACUUUAUUGAUCCCACAAGGGGAGAUUUUAAAAAUGACCGUCAUUGUAGGACUUGAGUGGAUACACUGGUAUUUUCAGGGGACAAGGAUAUAGAUAAACGCCCCUAGUGCUGGUGGUACGAAUAAUGCUUUAUCAUUAUGUUAAUGGAGGUACAGCAGCUACAGCAGUUCAGUGUAACUCAAAUCUUGUUGGAAGACACACAGAAAUACACACUCUCAUCACAAUAACACGUGUAAAACAAUUUUGUGGUGGAAUGCAGCUCUAGAGGGGCUUUUAAAAUGAGGCCCUUACUUAAAGAGGAGUACAGUACUCCUCGUAGUGAAGUGGUGCCUCUGUAGCCCUGCAUAAUUUUAGCUUUUCUGUCUGAAUAAAGCAGUUUUUUUUCUGACCAUAGACAACAAGUACUGACAACUGGAAGUCAUAAAAAUACAUGACAGAUUCUCAGCGCAUACAACAUCAGUUCUUGGCCAAUAGAUCUGAUUUACUGUCGGGCCUUUUUUUCAACAUUUAUCACUUAUCCAUUGCUCUCAUUGAUUCAGGAGCACUUUAAGCUGAAGGUAAAAAGUCCAACCAUUUUUACAUAAAUGCAUUUGCAGAAUGGCAGACAAAGUUCUCCUCAUUCAAACUUCCCCAGGGUGACAGAUGUUGGAUUUGCAUUUAUCAAAACUGAAUUUCUCUUGACCCAUGAUGGACCAACAACCUCUUCAGGGUGUUUUUCUGUAUUCUGCCCAACGCAUCCUGGGAUGAAUACAUAGAUUUUUUUUUUCCUAAUGCCCUGGCAAAAAUGGCAUUUUAAACAACUGAAGAACACUUUUCUUUUUAUGAAAAUGUGUAUUUUUACUUUGCUUCUGCACAAGAGUGAAUGUGUAUAUGCCCAGAAAUGCACAAUCUUUUGGAAAAGAAAAGUUGAAAAAGACAGUGUGAAUUGGUUUCUAGGGAUCAGUGUGGAAGAAGCCUUUCAAUAAAUCCCUGUCCUCCAUCUGUAUAAACAAAUAAAAAAACAAAACAAAACGAUUGUUUUAUAUUUGCUUUGACCCCCAAGGCACUCACAUAUGACUGGCAUGGUAUUUUAUGCCAAGAGAUCUGAGGUGUGUUUCUAGUCAAUACUGAGGCGUUCUGGAAACUUGGUGAAUGACAUGACUUGAAGGGAGAGAUUUUUCACAACGUGCUCAAGGAACUUUAGGAGUGUUUAUGCAUGUGCGUUGUAUUGCAUUGCGGUGUAAUGUAUACUGUUAUGUGUUUUUUUACAUGAUGUUUACUUGCUGUGUCUAAGGUGACACCGGGGACAAAUAUGUUCUUCCAGUUUUAUCUGCCAAGUUAUGCAACCUACUGAAAUGAUAAAUAAUUAAAAGAAAUUAAAUAAAGUCGCAAAGUUGAGGUAAAAUCUUUGUCCCUGCACAAUCACAGAUUCAAUCACUGACAAAUGACUAGACUAUCUUUCUUUUUUCUUUUUUCUCUUCUUUUACAGCAAUAGAUAGUGCUACUAUGACUCGUAACAUUUUAAAUCUGCCAAUAUUGUCUGCUUUCAUUUCCCUUAAGAGUGAUAGCACAUUUGCAGUUAGAGCCCCUAAUCUUCGGAACAGUUUGCAUAUCUUACAGCCAAUCUUCAAACCAAAUCAGUUUUCACAUUUAAUCCCUUUUAAAUACCUCCCUUUGGCUCCCUGCUACACUCAGCUUGGUCGUGUGUUUUAACAAUAACAAUUAUGUGUGUUGGGUGGGAAGGAAGCUGGUGCUGCUUCAAGUCCCUAUAACUGCAGAGCCUACUUGUAUUUGUUGGUCAUGAUACUGCAUAACAUUCCUUUAUAAACAUGCCUUUACCCUUCUGUUUCUGUUUUCAAAUUUUUUAUUUGUUUAUCGAAUCUUUUCCGAUGUUCCUUUAUUGUAUGAUUUAUUGUUUGUACCACAAACACCAACUUCUGGAGAAAAUUCAUGAAAAUAAACAAGCUG